rnacentral:lncRNA from 1 species
GUGAAGCAUCUCUAUCAGGGGGUGCUGGGGAAGUUGAGAGAGCUCCACCCUGGCUGGAGGAUGUUUGGAGGGAAAACCGAAGGUCUGGAGAGGCAGGUGGAGCAGGAGAUGGUGCGACGAAGAGCACUGGGCAAUCAGCUGACACAGCUGCUGGACAGCCAGCUGCAGAUCCUGCGGGUGGAGAUGAGAGCACAGCAGGCCAUGCAGAAGACCUUCAGAGCACGACUGAGAGAGAGCGCGAGGCUUCUGAGACUGCUGGCUGAGGGUCAGACCUCGCUCUGGGAUAAACACAUCAAGCAACAUGUUCUGGAGCGGGUAGCUGUGCUGGCUGAUGAGAUGACUGAGAAGGUAUCAGUGGAGAGCCAGAGGCUGGGGGCCUGGGUUGUGCUUAAAGAGGGCACUGGAGCACAGCUAUUAUGCCCUGCUACUGGAUCAGUCCUCAGUAGGGAAGACAUCAUCGGUGAGACCUUUUCAGAUAUUAACCAUGUAAUUCAGACCUACUGUUGUCACUGUUUCCAGUCAGUGGCUGUGCAAACAUGUCGCCUAGUGGAAUAUGACAGAAAAUAGCCAUACUCGAAAAGCCUGGCUACACCACUAGGUGGCGGUAUUUUACAACAUUGCCCACGCAUUGCUGGUCAAAUCCUGACAAAUAGCUUCUGAGGCUCAACUUGGCAUGUCUGUUGCAUGACUGAUUGAUUAAAGUCUGUAGAAACAUAGAAAUAUUUCACUCUUUUUCCCUCUGCAGCUCCUGAUGGAUCUCUUAGAGCUUGUGAUGCCGUUCAUGUAAACCCCCUCACAGGCCUCAUUCAGCCCAACUCUAACGCCCAUAUGUUACUGGCCAGUGGACACAGCAUGCCAGUUCCCCCGGACUUCUUCCUACACUCCCAGACUGGCAAACUACUGCCUAUGGCUGGAAACGUGGGCUUUGAUCCUGUUUCCUCCACCCUUGUCUUUACAGCCGAUGCUUGUGUGGGGGAGGUGGGAAAAUGGGAACUACCCCUGCUGCCUUUCAUUCCGUACCCUCCGUCCCGCCACGCCGAACUUCAUGCUGCUUCCAAACUACGGGGGCUUCGUCAGGCCAAAGGCUGAUGCUUGGAGGACCCAUGUGUGACUGUGACACUGGUGUUUUGGUGCCUAUUCAGGCAGUCACCAUCCAUCCACAAACAGGAUUGGUUUAUCCUUUGGGAGGCGUGCACACGUGUCCCAUCUCACGCCUGUGGCAGCCUAUUCAAAUAGGCUCUCCCAUGCUGGACCCACGUACAGGUGACCUAGUGCUCAUCACGGGCAUCACUCUUGAUCCCCAUACAGGGGCUGUACUUCCAGUUGGGGGGCUUCUCCUAGGCGAGUCCUUCAUCGAGCCCUUGAGCGGACGGAUGGUGCGGGUUGGUGGAGGCAGCGUGCGAGGAGGAAAGGUGGUGCCUCAUGCUGGGGGUUUCCAGGCUCUGCUGGACAGCCAGGCUCUGGGCGCUUGCUUGCGAAUGGCAGAGCUCCUGCAAGGAUUCAGCUCAGCAGCUGCAGAUCCACAAGGUGACCUGGACAGACUCUCGGCAGCAACAUCUGAGCUGGAGCAGGCCUGGAAAAGCAGCCAACACUGUAUGUUGCAGCUGCUGAGUCGCCUGGAAGCCGUACAGGGACAGGCCAGGGGUGUGGUGGAGAAUGGCGGUAGUGUGGGGGAAAUUAAGCUUCCUGGCAUUGAGCUCUCCUUGCCAGCUCUCCCCGGGUUGGAGUAUCCUGACCCUGGAGGCUCGGGUCUGCAUGUCCCAGUUCUGGGAGCUCAGUUGGACUGGAUGUCAGGAUCUAUGGUGCCCCUGGCAGGAACCAUGGAGGAUGCAGAUGGUAAAGGGCUAGUUCCCAUACAUUUUGGAGCGCAGACAGUGGACCCAGUGACAGGGGUGCUGGCUCCGGUUGUGGGGGCCAGUCUGGAUGUUUGGAAACGGACUGUGGUUCCUGUAACUGUGUCCCAGAUUCUGACGUUAGGAGAAAACCCAGACAGUGUCACGGUGGAAGCCCUCCAGAAAGAGAGCAGUGUACAGGGCAAUUACUGGCGUGAGCAGACACUGAAGGAAGAGGAGAUGGUGGGAGAUUUUGACAGAGCCAUUAAACACUAUCUGUCCACAUCCAUACACGAGUCUGACUGUAUAGACUGGAUGGACACAGACAGGCACCUCAGGGAGACCGCCGCUGAGAUUCAGGAAAGUGCUCAGUGUGAGGCCCAGAGAAAAGCUCUCCAGAACUCAGAGUUAUCGCUGCUCCUACAAGCCCAUGUGUUACACACCUUCACAGGAGUAGAUGAAGAGGAGUGGGAGCAGCAGUGUUACUGGCACACUGAGCUUAAGGCCGUGCUGAACCGAGUGAGUGUGUCCAUGGAGAGACUGCAGAGGGACCGGGGAUCAGCUGUCGGCACAGGAAACGCAGCAUCUGGAUGGAAAACUGAGGGAGCAGGAUCUGUGGGAGCAUUUAAUGCAGAGACAAGCAGAGCUGGAUGCUGCACUUUCAACUCUUCACUGUGCUCGUCAGGUCUGCCAGCUGCGUGCUGA